rnacentral:misc_RNA from 1 species
AAGUUGUAACAAGGUCUCUGUUAGUAAACUAGCGGAGGGAUUAUUAUAGAGUUGCACAACUCGCUAAACCAUUGUAAACCCUACCUCCCUAUUGCUUCGGCGGGAGGUACCCUCGUCGCCUUAUAAUGGGCUGCUCGUAGGGUGCCCCUAGGCCCCGCGUAGGCGCCUGCUGGAAUAAUUUUAGAAUCUCUUGAUAGUAUAUAGCUUCUCUAAGUCUUACUAAAUAAGUCAAAACUUUUAACAACGGAUCUCUUGGUUCUA